rnacentral:rRNA from 1 species
UCCUACGGGAGGCAGCAGCAGGGAAUCUUGCGCAAUGGGCGAAAGCNUGACGCAGCGACCGCCGCGUGAGGGAAGAAGGCCUGCGGGUCGUAAACCUCUUUUCUCGGGGAAGAUAGUGACGGUACCCGAGGAAUAAGCCUCGGCUAACUACGUGCCAGCAGCCGCGGUAAUACGUAGGAGGCUAGCGUUGUCCGGAUUCAUUGGGCGUAAAGGGAACGCAGGUGGCUGAGUUCGUCCGUGGUGCAAUCUCCAGGCUCAACUUGGAGAGGUCUGCGGAUACUGCUCGGCUUGAGGACGGUAGAGGAGCACGGAAUUCCUGGUGUAGUGGUGAAAUGCGUAGAUAUCAGGAGGAACACCCGUGGCGAAAGCGGUGCUCUGGGCCGAUCCUGACACUCAGGCUCGAAAGCGUGGGGAGCAAACCGGAUUAGAUACCCGGGUAGUCCACGCCCUAAACGAUGAGUGCUGGGUAUGGGGGGUAUCGACCCCCUCCGUGCCGAAGCUCACGCGUUAAGCACUCCGCCUGGGGACUACGGCCGCAAGGCUAAAACUCAAAGGAAUUGACGGGGA